AUUUUUUAAAUGACAAAAAAUGUAUUGUGCUAUGAGUUUAUUCCAUAGCAUUCAUUUUGGUUGUUUUACUUUUCUCACUAACAUUUUAAGAUUUAUCCAUGUUGUUGAAUAUAUUACUAAUUUAUUAUCUUAAAAUUAUAUACUUUGUUCUAAAUAAUUUAUCCAUCUGUUUUCACUUUUUAUUUUUGUAAUGAGCACCUAGGUUGCUUUCAAAUUCUUACUACCACAAAUACUGCUGUGAUAAGCAUCUCCACACUCUUUCCCUUAUUAUCUGUACACAGGUGUUUCUGGAGUAUCUAUUCAAGAGUGAGUUGGCUAACAAUUAAGAGAAAUAAAGUGGAAGACAGCCUCCACUGUUCCUAUUUUACUAUAAGUCUCUUGGGAGAAGGACUGACUCUUCAAUCCCUGUUGUAUGCAGCACACUAAACAGGGUACGUAUGCUA
rnacentral:lncRNA from 1 species